UAUUAUUAACGCUUUGGAAUUUCCUAGAGAUGAAAGACUUUACUGAACACUAAGAUUCUCACUUUCAUCUUCUCUAGAAUCUACAGAUACACCCUGCAGUCGGGGACUUCAUGCUCAACCAGACUCUGGACAUAAUCACCGCUCAUUUCCCAGAAUUCUCAAAUGCCGACUGGAAUGACUGGUUUUGUAUUAAGCUGGUUCCUCUCUUUCCCAGUCUAACUCCAGAGACCUUAAAAAACAUAUUAGUAAACGUCAACUGCACUCUUUACAAAAUAAUGUGAGUAUGUGUUUUUUUACACAGUUUCCAGCACUUUUUUCAAAUUCCUUCCCAUUUAUUUCCAUUGCUUUGCGAAUAAUGACUGGUGUAACUGGGAUUUUACUCUUCCACCACAGUGUUAAAGGACUGAACCUGGGAUUUGAGGAAAUGUCUUUAAGCUUAAGGCAAGAAAUCACCCCUCCUUUGGUGAAUUACCUGAAGCAGACUCAGAAACUCAAAGGUUCAGUCAGACCUUGUGGUCCUAAUAUUUCGCUGGACUGGACUUUGGAAAAUCUUGGCAAUUUCUCCUGG
rnacentral:lncRNA from 1 species